UCCGGUAUGGUGUAACGGCUAACAUUACCGCCUUUCAUCGUCCUACAGCUGAUCGCGGUAGCUCGGGGUUCGAUUCCCCGUACCGGAA